GCUUGGACCAUGUCUCCCGAACAAGCUCAGUACAUAUGUCGCAAGCGACUUUUCUUCUCCAGCGGAUAGAAGUUCUGGAUUUUAGAAAAAUUGGCUUUUUAUGGUUUUUUGAGCUCUUGCUGAAUCAGCUGUUCAUGCUACCGAUUCCUAUCCCUAACUUGAAAUCUCCUAAGAGAAGUCUUCAAUAGAAAAAAAUAUAAGAAGCGAGUGAAUAAAGCAGAAUUGAUUCAGACUUUCCUCUCGAAGCACUUUAUGCUCCAGUCCUACAGUUGGAUCAAAAGCCUGUCUUUGUCUUUCUCGGGUUAAGCUAGUAGUCCAUUGGGUGGUGGGAUCUCCUUAUUCCUAUUUACCUUGGCUGGGAACUGAAA
rnacentral:misc_RNA from 1 species